rnacentral:rRNA from 1 species
AACGCGAAGAACCUUACCUACCCUUGACAUGGUCGGAAUCCUGAAGAGAUUCGGGAGUGCUCGAAAGAGAACCGGCGCACAGGUGCUGCAUGGCUGUCGUCAGCUCGUGUCGUGAGAUGUUGGGUUAAGUCCCGCAACGAGCGCAACCCUUGUCCUUAGUUGCUACGCAAGAGCACUCUAAGGAGACUGCCGGUGACAAACCGGAGGAAGGUGGGGAUGACGUCAAGUCCUCAUGGCCCUUAUGGGUAGGGCUUCACACGUCAUACAAUGGUCGGAACAGAGGGUUGCCAACCCGCGAGGGGGAGCUAAUCCCAGAAAACCGAUCGUAGUCCGGAUUGCACUCUGCAACUCGAGUGCAUGAAGCUGGAAUCGCUAGUAAUCGCGGAUCAGCAUGCCGCGGG